CGAGGACUUGCUGGCACCCGUCUCUGAGCCCAUCGAGUGGAAAUACCACAGCCCUGAGGAGGAGAUAAGGUGUGUGGCCCCUGACCCCUGGGAGGGACCUGGCGUCCGUGUGGCCACGCCUCUGGGGUGGGGACUCCUGGAGGUCACGCAGUGGGUUUUCAGAACCUGCCUGGGUGGGGACUUGGCAGGAGGCAACUGUGCCUCUCCUGGGUUGAGGGCAUGGAUGCUAGAGCCAGACCUCCUGGGUGUGACCCCCAGCCCUGCUGCUUCCCUGUGCUGUGACCUUGGGCCCCAAGGUGCUGUCCGUUCUGUGGCUCAGUGUCCCCACUUUAAAAUGAGGACGAUGAUAAUACCCACGUCCCAGGGCUGUCUUCGGAAUCACAUGCAUCCCUUCUCACGAGGUGCCUAAAGCAGAGACGGGCGUCCUGAGAGCCCAGCGUUGACUCUGGCACUGCAGCCUCCUGGGGCCUGCUUGGGUGGGUUGUCGGGUGCUGUGGGCAGGGGCCGCCGCCUCCGGGCUCCAUGUUCUGAUUGCCCUGCAGCCUUGGACCUGCCUGCUGGCUCUGGGAUUUUUUAAGACGAAGCGAACAGGUAAGACUUCCAGUUUCUAGUGAGCCCACUUUGCUUGUUCUGCUGGUUGGUCUGGUUUUAUUCUGGGGCAGGGUAGGGAUUUUUUUUUUCUUUUAAUGCAAACAACAAAAAGCAUUUCAUCACUCUGCUUCCAUGGGGAGCUUAGUCUGCGCUAGCCAGAGGCAAGGUGGGCACAAUGGCUGGGGUCAGCUCCACCUUUGGAGGCGCAGCGGAACCCAGCCCGUCAGCGUUCAGGGUCACCCUCACCAUCUCGCCAGCAUUGUAAUCACGCAUAUCUGCAGUUCAUCGGUGGAGUCAGCCUCUGACACGCCCCCACAGUGAAGCGUCUUUUUUCCCUCUGAAAAAUCCAUUCAUCCUGCCACGUGUGGGUAUUUGUCCUGACUCCAUGGAAAGUGCCGACACCCAUGUGCAUAGCUGUGGACACCUCCUUGAGGUCUGUGGGUGGAGCUUGGCUGAUCCAUGGGCAUGCCGCUUCUCUGAGGCUCUGCUCACACUGUGUUUGGUUGGUCCAUUCCAGGCAGGGUUUUUGCUGCCCUUGAGUGGUGGGGUGGACAGCGCAGCCACCGCCUGCCUCAUCUACUCCAUGUGCUGCCAGGUCUGCGAGGCCGUGAGGAGCGGAAAUGAGGAAGUGCUGGCUGAUGUCCGCACCAUCGUGAACCAGAUCAGCUACACCCCCAGGAUCCCCGAGACCUCUGUGGACGCAUACUGACCACCUGCUACAUGGCCAGCAAGAACUCCUCCCAAGAGACGUGCACCCGAGCCAGAGAGUUGGCCCAGCAGAUUGGAAGCCACCACAUCAGUCUCAACAUCGAUCCAGCUGUGAAGGCCGUCAUGGGCAUCUUCAGCCUGGUGACGGGGAAGAGCCCUCUAUUCGCAGCUCAUGGAGGAAGCAGCAGGGAAAACCUGGGGCUGCAAAAUGUGCAGGUGCCCCCGCCUGGGCCGGCGUCCCCUGGGGGUGGGAGUGCAGGGAGCCCUGGGAUGGCUGGUGCAGGAUGUGCAGGUGACCCCGCCUGGGCUGUCAUCCCCUGGGGGUGGGGGUGCAGGGAGCCCUGGGACAAUCACUACAGGAUGUGCAGGUGCCCCCACCCGGGCCGUCGUCACCAUGAAGGUCAUGGCACAGGUUACCUAGGGACAGCCAGUGCUGGGGUCACAGCUUGUAUGCCUCACUGAAGACAUCAGUCAUGCAGCCUUGUUAACAAGGAGGGGGGUCUGCGUGUGUGUUGGUGCAUGAGCAUGUGAUGUGUAAGAGCAAGAGCAGGGGUGUAUGGAUGUGCAUGCUUGAGUGUGUGCAUGAGCGUGAGUGCAAGAGCAAGAGGGUGUGUCUGAGCCUGAGUGUGAGCCUGAGCGUGAGCCUGAGUGUGAGCCUGAGCGUGAGAGGUUACAUGAGUGUAUGAGAGUACAAGAGUGUGAAUGUGAGUAUGCACAAGAGUGGGUGUGCUUGUGAGUGUUUGUGCACAAGCAUGUGUGAGUGUGUGGGUGUGCGAGUGAGUGUGCACAAACGUGAGUGCACAAUUGUGUGCAUGGGUGCAUCUGCAUGAGUGAGUGCACGAGCAGCCUGUGAGCGUGUGGGUGGGUGGGUGUGCAUGAGUGUGAGAGUGCACAUGACUGUGUGUGUGUGAGUGUGUGUCUCUUUAAUCCUCAGGGAACAGCCCAGACGUUGUCUGCCUCCUGGGCUACUGCACUUGACUGGCUGCUCCAUGAUGGGCGGAGGAGAAGAGAGGCUGGGGGCUCCAGCUGCUGGGAUCUGUCGUGUCUCUCUCUGUCCCCUUUCUGCUGUGCCUGGGUGGCUUCUCCCCUCCUGCCAGUGGUAAAAGGAUGGAAAUGCAGUUGCCAAGCUUUCUCCCAGGGACCCCACGACUCAGUCCUGCCACCGAUGCUCCCUCUGCCCUCCCAGGCUCUGGGUGCUCCCAUCUUUGAAGGCAAGGCACCACUGGGCUUGUGUGAGCCUUGUGGAGGUGGGAUCACCCCGAGAGGAAGGCCUCGGGACACUGUGGGACUCUGAGACUCUGAUGUUCCCAGAACACUACAGAGCUCCUAAGCUAUUUUAAUUUUCUUGUUUUCAAGAGUUUGUGGGUGUGUGUCUCCCCCAUGUUCCUUUGCAAGGGAACUGGUUAUUUCCUCUGUUGUGUUGUCCAGGCUCGAAUACGGAUGGUCCUCGCCUAUCUGUUCGCUCAGCUGAGCCUCUGGUCUCGGGGCGUCCGCGGUGGGCUCCUCGUGCUGGGAUCUGCCAACGUGGAUGAGAGUCUCCUGGGCUACCUGACCAAGUACGACUGCUCCAGUGCGGACAUCAACCCCAUAGGCGGGAUCAGCAAGACGGACCUGAGGGCCUUCGUCCAGUUCUGCAUCAAGCGCUUCCAGCUUCCUGCCCUGCAGAGCAUCCUGUCGGCGCCCGCCACGGCAGAGCUGGAGCCCUUGGCUGAUGGACAGGUGUCCCAGACCGAUGAGGAAGAUAUGGGGAUGACGUAUGCGGAGCUCUCGGUCUAUGGGAAACUCAGGAAGGUGGCCAAGAUGGGGCCCUACAGCAUGUUCUGCAAACUCCUCGGCAUGUGGAGACACAUCUGCACCCCGAGACAGGUCGCUGACAAAGUGAAGCGGUUUUUCUCCAAGUACUCCAUGAACAGACACAAGAUGACCACGCUCACACCUGCGUACCACGCCGAGAACUACAGCCCUGAGGACAACAGGUUUGAUCUGCGACCAUUUCUGUACAACACGAGCUGGCCUUGGCAGUUUCGGUGCAUAGAAAAUCAGGUAAAUCCAGCAGAAAUGUUUCUCUCUCUGUGUUUCAUGUCUGUAGAAGAAACGUGAGGUUAUUUCCAUGAAGGACUGAGAAAAACUUUCUUAUAUACACAGUGACUUUUUUACUGUCCUCCUUCCUGCAAAGGAACAAGUAUGUUUAAAGCGUUUUUUAAAUUUACUUUUUUCAUGUUGACAAAUAAAAGUUCUAUAUAUU
rnacentral:sRNA from 1 species